rnacentral:rRNA from 1 species
UACGUAGGGUGCGAGCGUUAAUCGGAAUUACUGGGCGUAAAGCGUGCGCAGGCGGUUUUGUAAGCCAGAUGUGAAAGCCCCGGGCUCAACCUGGGAAUGACAUUUGGGACUGCAAGGCUGGAGUUUGGCAGAGGAGACUGGAAUUCCUGGUGUAGCAGUGAAAUGCGUAGAUAUCAGGAGGAAUACCGAUGGCGAAGGCAGGUCUCUGGGCUAUAACUGACGCUCAUGCACGAAAGCGUGGGGAGCAAACAGG